AACGAACGCUGGCGGCAGGCUUAACACAUGCAAGUCGAACGGGUGUAGCAAUACAUCAGUGGCAGACGGGUGAGUAACACGUGGGAACCUUCCUAGGGGUACGGAACAACUCAGGGAAACUUGAGCUAAUACCGUAUACGUCCGUGAGGAGAAAGAUUUAUCGCCCUUAGACGGGCCCGCGUCGGAUUAGGUAGUUGGUGGGGUAACGGCCUACCAAGCCGACGAUCCGUAGCUGAUCUGAGAGGAUGAUCAGCCACACUGGGACUGAGACACGGCCCAGACUCCUACGGGAGGCAGCAGUGGGGAAUCUUGGACAAUGGGCGCAAGCCUGAUCCAGCCAUGCCGCGUGAGUGAAGAAGGCCUUAGGGUUGUAAAGCUCUUUUACCAGGGACGAUAAUGACGGUACCUGGAGAAUAAGCCCCGGCAAACUUCGUGCCAGCCGCCGCAGUAAAAC
rnacentral:rRNA from 1 species